CCGACGCCAGCUCGGCGGUGAAAAGCCCGGCGUAAACAGCAAAAAAAACAGCCCCGAAAGUGGCGCUUAGCGGUUAAAAAGAGCGUGGAGGGAGAGCAGGGUUUGGAGGGAGAGCAGAUAAACCUUUUUCACUGAAGUACUGGACCUCACGUAACCCAGGCAGGACAGAUGUUACCAAUAUGGGAUCAUUUCACUCCAGCGCUCAUACGCUAAAACUUCAUUACUUAUUGAUGGAAACCUAGCAGAAUUAAAAACAAAACAAAACACUGCGACUUGCCAUCAUGCUUUCUGAGAAAGGACACCACACCAUGCGAGUUGAGGGCUCAGAUGGCCACAGGCAUCCUACUCAGACAUCUUUGCUGCAGAGUAACUUCAGAUGUUCCUGGACUUUGAAAGAAUAAUCGUCACCAAACAGCUCAUCAAGCCAUAAAUCAACUUCUUAGAAGUCCUCUGGUGCUGGAGCAUGACAAAGACACUGCAAAGCUGCCCUACCUGGGCAAAUGGAUGUUUUGCAACAUGAUGAAAUCCAUUAGUGGCAUGAAACAAAUGUUGCACUGGUUUGAAUCACAGUAAACAUUGCUGGGAACAGGGGAGAAUAUAGAAUUUAAUAUAUAUAGAAUAUAAAAUAGCAUUCAAAACCUCUUACCAUACACCCAGCAUAGGUUGCUUGGACCUGAGAUGGAUCUGAAGAAGUAAAUGUGCAGAUAUUAACAAGCAAGUAAAUGGACAUAUUUCUUGUAUGGACACCUAUCCUGCAGCUAUAAUAGUAACAAAAGGGCAUUGUUAUCACAGUCUUAGAGAGAGGAUUCUACAGGGUGUGUCUGUACAUCUAUGGAUAUAUAUAUUUGUAAAUACACAUGCAUAUACACCAACUGUACAGAGUCUUCUUUAAAUAACUGAUCUUUUCAGUAGCAUGAAUGCAGAUGAAGCAGUUUGAGUAAAAGCCUAAAGCCUUUUAUUUUCCCCUUUAAAGGGACUUUCCUCAAGGGUGUAAUUGUCUCAUUGGGCAACUAACAGGAAAACAACUGGUACCCUGGAGAUGCUGAGAACUUAGAAUCCACAUUGAGAUUUCAGCCUAGCUACUAAACUUUCCAUGAUGUCAGCUGCAUCAGACCUGUGGUGAAGUUUGUCUGCAGGAAAUACCUUCAAGUACAUAAAAUAAUCUGCUUAUCUAGCUACUAUCUGUCAGGUUCCUGUAGAAGAUUCUUCGAUUCUUGACAUAGCAGAUCAGAAAGUGGGCACAGGUGUCACAGUGAAGUAGCUACCGAAUGUUGAGUUACUGAGCAGGGUGAUGCUCUUUCAGAGAGUUAUACUUAUUUCAUUGCUGCAGUUGCAGUAAAGCUUCAGUGCUGCUGCAGAUUCCAGAAAACAUAAACUGCAUUCAUAAGGCAAAAAUAUUUGGAGUAGGGGACUCAUAUCACUCUCUUUGGAGAAUCUAUGUUUAGCCAAACAAAGCCUAUUUGCGGUAAAGGAAAAGGAUGAGGCAUGCUUAGAAAAUUCAGUAGUCAUUCAUUUAAUUGCAAGAGAUAAUAAAAUGAACAGAUUCAAUAAUGGUUACUUCCUGUAUUGCAAAAGUAAGCAUUUAUUUCAGAAAGUAUACUGGAACUAAGCAAAGUAGUCUGAAGAAUGGGUAGACUUCCACCAUCCACGUCAAGCAAAAUUGGCAACUGAAUUCAGCCCAACCGCUCUGUUAAUGCGCUGGAAGAGAACUCAGUGAAGAAAAAAAGUACACCAAUCGUACUGUUUCAGAAGAAAAAAAUCUGUGAGUGUUAUAGAAGAUGUAUAGAGGAUAUUUAUAGACUGUAUGACAAUUUCUCCUAAAAAUGCUAAAAAGAAUUGAGAUGUUAGCAUGCAGGACUCUUAUCUACCUUGCUGUUCAGCUGAUGAUAAGAAGAGAGACUUGAAACAAAUCUACUUUCUCAGCUCUCUGAAAAUUCACAUCUUUUGAACAUGAGAGCGAGUCCUCUAAUUUAUUAAAAAAUAAAAAGAACUUUCUUGUGACCUCUGAGACUCAGGUACAGCAAACAUCCCAAAUCUCAAACCAGUUGUCAAAGAUCCUAAUUCUGCAAGACCCUUUCUUGUGAGCACCUGUUCAAAAAAGAUGCACUUAUAAAAUUCAUGUUUCCAAGCAACAAAACAAAACAAAGUAAAACAUCUCUGUCAGGGGAACUGACAGAGGCAGUGGCCUCAUUAGUGAAGUCUGAUUUUCUGAGGCCAAGCAAUACUAUUCCAAGAGUUCAGGGGGGAUUUUAAGUUACUUGAACACAUGACACGGAGGAGUUUUACCCUUGUCUUAACAGAGCCAUAAUGUCACUGUGCAUGCUUGAAUGCUGAAGCUGGUUAUAAAAAAACAAACCAAAAGCAGACAACCUCUUGGCACGUAGUGCCACAGCAAAUGGUGCCAUGGAGAGAAAGGUGAGCACGCUCUCCAGCCUUACUACCCGUGAGGUAGGCAACUUCACAACUGCAACUUCUACAACUACAGGACAGUCGUGUUGGUAAUUCCCCCACACAGCAGAGAAGCAAUGGUUUAUGGCAGCGGGCUUGAAAUUCUAGAGUCGGAGACUGAUCUUUUCAGUUUUAUUCUUGGCUUAGCUAUGGAGUCUGAUUUUGAACGAAUUAUUUAGUUCCUUUGUUUUAUGUGCGCCGGUGAGGAAUGGACAUAAUAACGUGCAAUGGUAUUGCAAACUUAAAACAGUAACACCUUCAACAUAUUUCGAGAUUUUAGAGGUUGGAAGAGAUGAAGAAAUUGUAGCUAUUGUUGCUGCUGUUACUGAAUUCUGUUUGUCAGCUCUAGAAAUAGAAUUUGAAAUCCAUUGGCAGGGAUAUGGGACAAGUUACAACCUUUUUUUUGGUGGGAUUCACGUGUGGAAAUACGUGCUUGAGCCAGCAGGAAGUCUCUCUUUGGGAAGGAUUAACAUGUGAGUAAAUAAACAGCAGGCAAAACUAGUUUCCUAUACAAAGACAAUUACACAUCAUGGAAUAAAUUAAGCCCUUCUACAUGUAUAUUUUUGCUUAAACGAAACUAUUGAAAACAAUUUUGAUGGAAAAUAUUUUGAAAACCUUAGAACACAGAUUUGGACUAAUGUUUUAAAGGGUUAAGGCAAGCUUUCAAAAACUAGAUAAUCAAAGUAACAUAAACCACAGGCUUUCCCCGCUGAUAACAGGUCUCCAUGAACAUGCACAAAACUAGGAAGAGAACUCUCAAACAGGCAAUGUGAUUAGUUAUUUCUCCAUAAGCCUGUAGCUUUCAAUUAGCUGAACAAACUAGUUUUGGAUAAAGUCUAUUCUUAGGCGAUUAUUAUGUGCUGAAUUUUGAUGCUUGAUUGAAGACAUUUUUUACUUGCAAACUGUAACAGCUGGAAACCAGGUUUUAUAUUAUACUGUGAACAACAUGCUAACCAUGUUUUUACGUAAGAAAGCUCAGCAACAGAGCUAUAAUAUUUCCUCUGUGUGUUUAGGCUGAGUUAUGCUGUUAUAUUACUGAUGUGUAUUAUGCUAAUGCAAUAAAACAUAAAGACUAUUGUAUCUUUUGUAUCUUCUACCACACUGGUACCAGUAGGGAUUUGCAUUGGUAAUAUAACAGCAGCAGAACAAUCUAGAGAAUUGUUGAAGUUUCCUAUUUUGAGGUUAUGGGUACAAGCCUACAAGUCAGUAAAAUUCCCCACUAACUUCAGUGACUUCUGGAAGGUUUAGAACUAGAAAAAAAAUACAGCACCAUGAAAGACAGACACAGCAAUAUGCUAUUCAUCACUUAAUUAAAAACACAGCAUAUAUGGUGACAAUUUCAAAUAAGUGAACUUACUGCAGUAUUUUGAACAGCUUAGAUUACUGGAUAGCAUUUUUAAGAAUAGUUUUCUUUCCUUUAAAUUUAGUAUUUUAAAAUAAGUGAUCAAGUAGUACUGGAAAUAAACUAGUGCAGACCACACAGACAGAGCAGAAUACUGCCCUUGGAUCAUUUUUCCAUGUUCAUACCUUCUACUUAAUUUUUUGGACAUAUGGAUUACAGACUACCAUGAUAAUAUGCCUGAACAUAAUUUAAAGAGUAUGUCAGAGGAGAAAAAAAAUAGAAGACACCCCAAAAACCAAUUCCUAUCCAUAACAUUUUAACAGUAUUAGAAACUUAAGAAGUAAAUGUACUUCUCACGAUUUAAAAUGUGAGUUUGCUUUUUUUGCAUCUCAUUUGGUUUUAUCAUCAGAUUAUUCAAUUGCAGUUUUUGCAUCUCCCAUAGUUCUUUACUGGGUGUGUGUGUGUGUAUGUGUUAAAUCCUCAUAAGAAAUGUAAUACAAAUAACCAGGAAUUACAUUUUCAGUAUUUUUAAUAAAAUCUUUUUCCACUGUC